rnacentral:rRNA from 1 species
CCGGCGCACGGUGAGUAACGCGUAUGCAACUUACCUAUCAGGAGGGGAUAACCCGGCGAAAGUCGGACUAAUACCGCAUGAAGCAGGGGCCCCGCAUGGGGAUAUUUGCUAAAGAUUCAUCGCUGAUAGAUAGGCAUGCGUUCCAUUAGGCAGUUGGCGGGGUAACGGCCCACCAAACCGACGAUGGAUAGGGGUUCUGAGAGGAAGGCCCCCCACAUUGGUACUGAGACACGGACCAA